rnacentral:rRNA from 1 species
UACGUAGGGUGCGAGCGUUGUCCGGAAUUACUGGGCGUAAAGAGCUCGUAGGUGGUUUGCCGCGUUGUUCGUGAAAACUCACAACUCAAUUGUGGGCGUGCGGGCGAUACGGGCAGACUGGAGUACUGCAGGGGAGACUGGAAUUCCUGGUGUAGCGGUGGAAUGCGCAGAUAUCAGGAGGAACACCGGUGGCGAAGGCGGGUCUCUGGGCAGUAACUGACGCUGAGGAGCGAAAGCGUGGGGAGCGAACAGG